CUGGGUAAGUGGAUGGAAUGUCAUCAACAACUGGAAGUGCAUAGGCAACCAUAUCCAUGAAACGAGUAGGCUUCUGAAUAUCUCGUCUCUGUCUUCUAACUGCAAUUGGUGCUGAUUGCUGUUGAGAUUCUUGGGUAGGAACCUCUUCCUCAUCUGACUCUUCUUCUGCCAUAGGAGAGUCACUUGUGGUAUUUCGUGUUGGGAUCACCACUGUCUGCUCAAACUCCACCU
rnacentral:lncRNA from 1 species